CACUUCUCGUCCGCCGUCGACUUCCGGUUUUUAAGGCUUCCUCCUCUUCCGUUCGGUCUCUUCCCCGUGGAAGCUAUGGCUGCGGCGGAGGAAGGGUUCCGGCCUCUCGAAGAGGAGUCCCUGGUGGACUACAUCAAAUCCACUCCCGCUCUCCUCGUCCAGUUGGGAGAACAGUUGGAGGGCCUCGCCAUCAAGGAAGUCGGCGACGGCAAUCUCAACUUCGUGUACAUCGUCACCAGCCCAGGCGGAUCCUUCGUCAUCAAGCAGGCUCUUCCUUAUAUUCGCUGCAUCGGUACUUCGUGGCCUAUGACAAAGGAGCGUGCCUAUUUUGAGAUGUUAGCCUUAAAAGAACAUGGUCGCCUAUGCCCAAAUCAUGUACCCGAAGUUUACCAUUUUGACAGGCCAAUGUCCUUAAUUGCUAUGCGCUACUUGAAGCCUCCACAUAUUAUUUUGCGGAAAGGGCUAAUUGCUGGGAUAGAAUAUCCAUUGCUUGCUCAACACAUGUCGGACUUUAUGGCAAGAACACUUUUUUUCACAUCACUUCUUUACCAUUCUACACUAGAGCACAGAAAAGCAGUUGCAGAAUUUUGUGGGAAUGUGGAACUAUGCAGGCUCACAGAGCAAGUUGUUUUUUCAGACCCAUAUAAGGUGGCUCAGUAUAAUCAUUGGACUUCACCUCACCUUGACCAUGACGCUGAGGCAAUUCGUGAUGAUGACAUCUUAAAAAUUGAAGUAGCUGGACUGAAGUCCAUGUUCUGCGAGAGGGCACAAGCUCUGAUUCAUGGAGAUCUUCAUACUGGUUCUGUCAUGGUGACUAAUGAUUCUACACAAGUCAUUGAUCCUGAAUUUGCUUUUUAUGGGCCUAUGGGAUUCGAUAUAGGAGCUUUCUUGGGAAACUUGAUUUUGGCUUUCUUUUCUCAAGAUGGUCAUGCUAAUAAAGACAAUGACCGUGAGGCAUAUAAGAGGUGGAUUUUGAAGAUGCUAGAAGAAACUUGGAAUCUUUUUCACCAGAAAUUUGUUGCUCUCUGGAAUGAGAACUUUGAUGGGCAUGGCGAGGCAUAUCUUGCAGAUAUUUUUAACAAACCUGAAUUGCAACUCCUUGCACAGAAGAAGUACAUGACUGAUUUAUUUCAUGAUUCUAUCGGAUUUGGUGCUGCUAAGAUGAUAAGGAGAAUUGUUGGAGUAGCUCAUGUUGAAGAUUUUGAAUCCAUUGCCGAUGGGAGCCAGAGGGCUCUCUGCGAGCGCCGUGCCUUAGAUUGUGCCAAGAAACUUCUGAAGGAAAGGCGCAAAUUUGAAAGCAUCAGCCAAGUCAUUUCAGUCAUUGAGGAGAUUUCAGCUCGCUAGGCAGUCGGAAAAAUAGAGGAACUAGUAACCGCCAUGAAAUUGCAUCAGAAGUGCAUCUCUCCAUGAACUGUUAAACUAAAUUAUGCUUUCAGAAUGAGUCACAGCAAAUGGCUGGUACUCGUCGAAAAUUGAAGUGAGGCAUUGAUGCUGAAGCUUUCUUAUGCAUCCUACCGAAUAACUGGUUCGAUGCUGGACUAGUUCAUACUUCAUAAUUUGCACAUGAGGGAGUCGAGCACACAUGAAAUAGGUGUAUGGUUCAAUCUCACAUCAAAGAGUGAAGAAAGAGUAGUAUACAGAGUACUCUCUUAGUAGAAUGCCCAAGGAUGAAAAUUCUUAAGGUAAUUAGAUUGAUAAUAUGAUAUACAUAUAUUAGUUAGAAUGGCGAAAAACAACAUAAAGCAAUGUUGAGUGUUAUUUGUUGGAGGAGAAACUAAUCAUAGGUCUUGUUAUUACUCA